rnacentral:rRNA from 1 species
UACACUCCUACGGGAGGCAGCAGUGGGGAAUAUUGGACAAUGGGCGCAAGCCUGAUCCAGCCAUGCCGCGUGAGUGAUGAAGGCCCUAGGGUUGUAAAGCUCUUUCACCGGUGAAGAUAAUGACGGUAACCGGAGAAGAAGCCCCGGCUAACUUCGUGCCAGCAGCCGCGGUAAUACGAAGGGGGCUAGCGUUGUUCGGAUUUACUAGGCGUAAAGCGCACGUAGGCGGACUAUUAAGUCAGGGGUGAAAUCCCGGGGCUCAACCCCGGAACUGCCUUUGAUACUGGUAGUCUUGAGUUCGAGAGAGGUGAGUGGAAUUCCGAGUGUAGAGGUGAAAUUCGUAGAUAUUCGGAGGAACACCAGUGGCGAAGGCGGCUCACUGGCUCGAUACUGACGCUGAGGUGCGAAAGCGUGGGGAGCAAACAGGAUUAGAAACCCUUGUAGUCCCA